AUGGCUCCCAUGAGGGAGGGUGUGAGGAAGGGAGAAAGCCAAGAGGGAUACGGAGAGGGGAGCAGAGGAGACACAACAAAGACUACAGGGGAGAGAACAAGCAUGGCAGAGGGGAAGUGUGGGGUCCACUGGGUGCUGCCCUUGACCUCCCAGGGCUGGCUCAGGGCUCCCUCUCUUGUUCUUCCUCCCCCCUAUAAAGCUCCCAGGAAUUCUGAGGAAUUCGCUUCCACCCCCCCAGCUGUUGCCAUGGUGAUGGAAACCUGGACUCAGUGGAAAGUUCUCUGUGCUCUUGGCAACGAGGCUGCAGCACCCGGCCUCCUGCCUGCCGGAGCGUGGGCGGCCAGCUCCGACUGCUUCCAGGAUUUGGGGCCAGCGCCACUUUCUGUGGAGCCCCAGCCCUGCCCCCGCGGGACCUGGGAUGGAAGCCAGGGCCUCUGCAGAGCAUGCAGCCCACCCCAUUUUACAGCACCCAGGGAAACAGUGCUGGAGCGCCCCUGCUGGCUUGCACUAGCUCUGAUGAGAAGGGGAAAUGACCUCAACCCAAGGUGGAAGCCAAGGAGGGGCCAGGCAGGGCCAGCCGCCUCCCCACGCCGAUGUGGCCCUGGGCACAUUCCUGAGCAGGUGGAAGCAAAUUUGGCUCAGAACCAGCAUCCAGGCACCCUGCCAGGCCCAAGACACAGAAAAUGCACGAGGUCUGAGCUCUCGGAGAACCUCGGGGGAGUGUAUGUUCUGCCAAGCAGCCAGAAACUUAAGGCACAGAGAGCUGUCCUUGUCCAGGGCCAGAGUCCGUGUUUCACACUCUGUGAGUCAUCCGGUCUGCGCCGCGGCGACUCAGACCUGCCACGACAGCGCAGAAGUAGCCAGGGACAACAGCAAAUGAGUGGGUGUGGCUCUGUGCCAAUAAAACUUUAUUUAUGGCAACAGGCCGUGGGCCAGGUUCGGCCCCUGGGCUGUGGUUUGGCACAGAUGCAAAUGACUGGCAUGGUGAGGGUGGGCGAGGUUGAAGUGGAUACCGAUUGCGGGAAGAAUGGGGUGGGGUUUAGUGUGGAGAAGACACAGGGAGUUAGGCAACCCCCCAGAACAUGA
rnacentral:lncRNA from 1 species